rnacentral:misc_RNA from 1 species
GUCGGCGGGCGGCUGCUCGGGAUCUUCUGAUUGAUUUAUCAAUCCUGGAUUCAGUCCUACGGCAGUGAGGAAAUGUCUGUCAGUCAAAACGAGUUUCUGUUUAAUGGGAAUGUGUGGCUCAAUGGCAGCGACCACCUCUCGCACCAAAGAUACCAAUAUGCAUUUCCAGAUCCAAUUCCCGAUCUGAAUCUGUUACCUGAAACAUCAGCAAUCACUGAAAAUGGUGAUGCAAUGUGCUUU